CAGUCGCCACGGUAAUACGUAGGGUGCAAGCGUUAAUCGGAAUUACUGGGCGUAAAGCGUGCGCAGGCGGUUUUGUAAGACAGGCGUGAAAUCCCCGGGCUCAACCUGGGAAUGGCGCUUGUGACUGCAAAGCUAGAGUGCGGCAGAGGGGGAUGGAAUUCCGCGUGUAGCAGUGAAAUGCGUAGAUAUGCGGAGGAACACCGAUGGCGAAGGCAAUCCCCUGGGCCUGCACUGACGCUCAUGCACGAAAGCGUGGGGAGCAUACAGGAUUAGAGACCCGAGUAGUCCCUGUCUCUUAUAC
rnacentral:rRNA from 1 species